GGGUUGUCAUGCCAAUGGCACUGCCCGGUAGCUAAAUGCGGAAGAGAUAAGUGCUGAAAGCAUCUAAGCACGAAACUUGCCCCGAGAUGAGUUCUCCCUGACUCCUUGAGAGUCCUGAAGGAACGUUGAAGACGACGACGUUGAUAGGCCGGGUGUGUAAGCGCAGCGAUGCGUUGAGCUAACCGGUACUAAUGAACCGUGAGGCUUAACCUUACAACGCCGAAGCUGUU
rnacentral:rRNA from 1 species